rnacentral:rRNA from 1 species
ACGCUCGACACCUACGGAGGCAGCAGUGGGGGAUAUUGCACAAUGGGGGAAACCCUGAUGCAGCAACGCCGCGUGAGGGAAGAAGGUUUUCGGAUUGUAAACCUCUGUCCUUGGUGACGAUAAUGACGGUAGCCAAGGAGGAAGCUCCGGCUAACUACGUGCCAGCAGCCGCGGUAAUCUGAGCGGGCUGGCAAGGC